AUGAACGCUGGCGGCGUGCCUAAUACAUGCAAGUCGAGCGAACGGACGAGAAGCUUGCUUCUCUGAUGUUAGCGGCGGACGGGUGAGUAACACGUGGAUAACCUACCUAUAAGACUGGGAUAACUUCGGGAAACCGGAGCUAAUACCGGAUAUAUUUUGAACCGCAUGGUUCAAAAGUGAAAGACGGUCUUGCUGUCACUUAUAGAUGGAUCCGCGCUGCAUUAGCUAGUUGGUAAGGUAACGGCUUACCAAGGCAACGAUGCAUAGCCGACCUGAGAGGGUGAUCGGCCACACUGGAACUGAGACACGGUCCAGACUCCUACGGGAGGCAGCAGUAGGGAAUCUUCCGCAAUGGGCGAAAGCCUGACGGAGCAACGCCGCGUGAGUGAUGAAGGUCUUCGGAUCGUAAAACUCUGUUAUUAGGGAAGAACAUAUGUGUAAGUAACUGUGCACAUCUUGACGGUACCUAAUCAGAAAGCCACGGCUAACUACGUG
rnacentral:rRNA from 1 species